rnacentral:lncRNA from 1 species
GCAUAAGUUGGGUGUUAUAUCAAAAUCAUAGCUUGUUAGGGAUAUGCUUGAUUAGUUCUUCAUGUUGCGUUGUUUGCGACCUGGAAUUGUGGGGAUCAAACUGUACCUAUGUUAGUUUGUGCACGUCAGCUUUAUUUUACUGGCUUAUAAGAGGCCAAAUGAGUUUAAUCACUUGGUUCUGGAAGUAGAAAGUAGAGGGAAAAAAUGGAUGGAUUAGUAAAUAAAGUCAGGACGAGAGCUUUGUAACUUAAUGAUCGUAUGCUUACUUGUCGUAUUGCUUUUGUGCUGCAUAAAAUUGGGUUGAAAAGAGAUAAACGAUUGGAGAUAAGGCGCUAUAGUUAUGUCUCAUUCAUUUAUUAACAUGCACAAAAUUUAUCAUUCUGUUUCUAUUUCGACAAAUUGGAGUAGGAAUAAUAUGAGAUCAUUUUGUAGCAAGUGUAUAUAAGCUUGAUAGAAAACUCAUGCUAUUUUGUGGUUUGGUAAAGCUAGUCUAGUUAGCUUUUGUUGUUUUUCUGUGUUGUAACUAGACUAUAGGAGCCAUAUGACGAUUUGAGAAAAUGCUAAGCAUUACCUAGUUAAUUGUGGAUGUUUGUAUAGUCUCUACUUGUCUAUUUUGCUGGCCGCAAGACGUUCCUGGUAAAGUGUUAUGACCAAUCCAGAAUCUCAGUUAAGAAAACAAAUAGAAUUAACGAAUGUAAGCAUAACUUGUUAUGUGAAAAUGAUAAAUGAAACUGACGAAGAAACAGGAGAAUGACGGGAUCUUAAGAAUACACAAAAGCUACUGCUACAAACAUUGACUGACGUAAUGUAUUUCACAAAGUGUUUUUAUCUUUAAUUUUGGUGCAUGAAUGGAAUUAGUGGAAAUGCUAGAAGCAAAAUAUGAUUGCUUCGAGAAAGUUAAAUAUCAUGCCAAGAAAAAUUGCUAAUACUUCAACAAUCUGAUGGAGGUGCUGUAAUUGUAUCCACUUGGGUUUAUAUUAAAAAUGUGAAUCUGUUGUGAGCAAGCUAUGUAUAGUUCUCAAGUCAUUUCUUGUAUUCCUUUUCUCUACUUUCACAUUUUAUUUCCACCUACUAAAAAACAAUUGUCUACUUCACUAACCACAUAGUACUCCAUAUGCUUUUUCGUUUUUCGUUUUUCUUUUUGAGUUUGAAAGGAGCCACAGAGUCGCUAAUUACAAAACCCUUCAAGAGAGAGCACCUGAAAUGUGAAAAGAUUAUACAAUCCAAAACACCCUUGUCAAUGCUAUGUAUAUGGGCGGCUUGCUUGUUAUAGUUACUGUGUAAUUUAUUUGACAGUUGGAGGAAAGUUUAUGUGCCCUGCAAUUUAUUUACUUGCAAACUUAGAGCUAUGGCAUGCAUCUUUCAAAGGGAAUCAUGAACUAAGAAUGAUCAUAUUUUGAUAGAUCGUGUAUAUGUUCAUCUGUUGCAGCUUCUGUUCAUUCUCUAUUUUCUGAAGUAUUGUCUCCAGUUAACUGCUUAUUGUUUCAUACUUUCAUUUAGAAAAGAUGAAUGUUAGAUCCUCAUUGCUGCUUUGUUCACAGACAAAAAUUGAUGUUGUUAAGAUGAUUCAGAAAGCACAUUACUGUCACACAGCAUUAUAGAGAAGCAAAAUGUUUCUUUUCCUCUGUAGUAUUUUCCUUUCAUUAGCUUUUGCUUAGAUGUAAUCCUGUAAAUGGAGAAAAAAAAACACAGAUUAAUUAGUCUCAUAUGAGAACACUCCUAAGAAUUUUAUAACUUUGAUAGAUAUUCAGUUUAAGGCAUUUUAAGCAUUAGAGGCAGAACUGGAGUACAUACAAGGACAAGCCGCAUGAUCGAAUGCUGACAAGGUGAUCUUAGUUAUAUAUCCACGAGAUAUAAUUCAUUUCAUCUCAAACUUUAAUUAUCAGUAUCAACAUGAGACCGUAUUUUUAUCUCUCAUUAAAAGGUAAAAGCGAGUCGCUGGGUCAAACACGCAGUGUCAAAACUCGGUGAAAAUGAACCUUUCAACAUUUUGGUAUGUUCUCAUGAUAACGAAACGUCCUUCUUAUCUUACCCCAUCCUACCAAUUACCUUAUUAUAGACCUUUCAACACCUUAUGCAUUAAGAAAAUGUCUACAUCUUAGUGUGAACAAAUAUUUUAUCGGGUCGACUCAUUAAUCGUCCACUAGCAUAUCUCGCAAAAUUCAAUAUUGGAAUAUUUGAAUUCGAUUUUAAUCCAAAUACUUAUGCAAUUCCGAACAGAAGAGGUAAGAAUAAGAUGUUAGUAAACUUAGAACAUCUUCUAAUUUAUUCAAAUUUAGGGCCAGAGAUCAAUGAACCGAGAUGAGCUCAGUUUGUAUGUUUUUCUCGUCUUCAAUUUUGAGAAUACUUUUCAAUACUAUAUUUACUUUCUAUCAACAGUUUAUUCUAUCAAUACGUUUCAAUUUUAUCUGAGUCCUUUUGUUUUAUAUAAUUUGUACGUUUGAAUACCAGUCCAUCAAUAUAAUCUUAUGAUAUUUUUUAUAUAAAAACAAAAAUUUCGUAAAUGAAAAGCUUGCGUAGAAAGAGAUCGUUUCCUUGAAGUAAUAAACAGAGUGGUGAAAGCGGCAUAUUCUUUCCCUCUAAAUACUUAACUGUUUACCCAUUACUAAAAUAUAUAAUCACAUACUCAACUUAUAAUAUACUUAUAAACUAUUUUAUCUUCUAACUUUCAUUUGACUUUGUAAAGAUAAAAGAUGUUAAUCCACAUAAUAAUAGUAUUAUUUAUAUAAAAAAGAGAUUUUAUAAAUAUUCAAAAAAUAUGUAAUAUUUUAAAUUUUUAAAGAGCACAAAUAAAAUUAACUUGUAUUAAACUUGAAUGAGGGUAGUAUUAUCAAAUUCCACUGGAUCCCAUACAUUUAUCACUAAGGGAGAGUUUCGUUGAGCGUAGAACAAAUCGAAAAAUUAUUUUCAGAUAUGAAAAAUACUUUCCUACUUAUUUAGUUCAUCGUAAAAUAAUUUUUCCAUAAAAAUAUUUUUAUAAAUUUGAAAAAAAUUAAAAUUUAUAUAUUAUUUUUCAGUGAAAAUAAAAAUAAAAAUAAAAACUCAAACUGCGUAAAAUUUUUUUCAUUCAUUUUGUUUCACUAAAUCAAACAAAUAUUAAUUUUUUUCUAACUAAAUAAAUAUUGAUGAAAAUUUAUUUAUUUUUUUCUACAAACUAAACGCUAUAAAAUAUUAAAAAAUUUUAUAAAAAAUUAUUUUUUACGAUUUUAUAUUGAACCGAACGACCCUAACCAAAUUUAAUGGAUUUUCUUUAAUAUCUCUUAUUAUCACGAAUCUUAUCAUAAUAAUAUUUAUUACUUUUAAUAAUAAAUACGAGAUAACACAGGGAGAUAACGAUCUCGACCAUCAGAUGCAUAUAAACGCACCAGGCAUGUCCCAUCACGCCUCAAUCAACGGCCGAGAUAGGGACACGUCACCCGUACCCUCAGCAACAUCGAAGUUAAAAAAAGAAAAGGGUGUAAACUAAAUAUAAAAUAGGCUUAAUUUUAUUAAUAUAUACUGCAUAGUUGAAUUGCUAAAUUUGUAAUUACGAAAUAUAGAAAUUAAACAGGUGAUAGCGACAUACUUGCCAUUCAAAAUAAAUCUAAAUAAUAAAAAUUAAGAAGGAAACUAAAUAGAGAAUAGCAUAAUAUAAUAUAAUUAAUCCUAAGUGGCUUUUAUAUAUAUAUAUAUAUAUAUAUAUAUAGGGAAAACUUCAAAAACCUCUUGUAGUUUCGUGCUUUCUCACUUUAGUACCCUCUGGUUUAAAGUAUAUCAAUUUGCCCCCAUGCAGUUUCGUUUUUAUCUUUUCGAUAACUUUUUCGUUAAUAUUUUAUUAAAUUAUAUACAAAAAACUUCAGAUAUUUAUCUAGAUUUAUCGAAUAUUCACUUUAGUACUUUUUAAUUUUAACUUUGUCACUGAUUUAAGAAAAAAAAUAAUAAAAUUGGUAAUAAAAAGAGAAAAACUAAAUUGAUAUAUUUUAAACCACAUGACACUAAAGUGAUAAACAGUGAAACCACACGAGGGUUUGAAGUUUUCUCAUAUAUAUAUUAUUAUAUAAAAAAAAAAAAAAUCUAACAUUCAAAAGAUAAUCUAAAAUAAAAAAUAUAGAUAAUAAUAUAUUAUCAGAGUGAGUCAGAGAGAGGAACAAAAAAAAAAAAGAAAAGAAAAAGCAGGCCGUUUCCGAAGAUAUCUCAUUAAAUGGGCUGACCACAAGCUAUAUACAAUUUUGAGUUCCGGUUAGGACCGUUAAAGGUAUAUAUAUAUAUAUAUAUAUAUAUAUACACUAUCGGUAGCACCGAGGGCUCCGUGCUACCAAAUUGUGUUCGAUGAUGCGGCUUCCAAAUUGACGAUCGGCUCCGUUAGACUUGAUCUACACUAUUAAAAGUAUUUAGAAACUAAAUUUCAUAAUUUUUCGAUAUUAUUUACCUAACAAAUAAGUUGUCUAAAAUUGAACGGCUGAAAAUAAAAAUCUCAUAAAAAAUAAUGAUAAAAGAUUUAAAUUCAAGAUCAGAUAUACUGAUCUUACUCUAAAUAAUGAAAAGAAUUUUCUAUAAAAUUUUCAUCGAAUUUGGNUAUAUAUAUAUAUAUAUAUAGAGUGGAGCUAGAAUACUUUUAGAAAGGAUGUGCGGAUAGGAUGAUAGUGGUCCCCGGUUAAAUUGAUAGUGGUCCCCUAGGGUUGAGUGGAUAAUUGGUUUAAUAGUAUAAUCUAACGGGUGGAAAUGAUCAAAGGGUGGAUCUAACGGUAGAAAACUCAAUAGUACCGAGGGCUUGAUACUAUCGAUAUUAUAGUAGCCGGACUCUAUCUAUAUAUAUAUAUAUAUAUAUAUAUAUAUAUAUAGAUAUAUAUAUAUAUAUAUUCGAUUCUUGGUUAUUUGCAUCUUCUUUCUCCCUCCCAACUGCUCACCCCUCUCCCGCCAUUACACCUUGCUGUUCUCAGUCUUCUCUGACCCAACUGCUAAUCCCUCACCCGCCAUUACACCCUGCUCCAAGAACUAAUCUUUCUUUCACCCCCCCCAAAAUCGCUCGAUCAAAAAAGUUUUUGCCCUAACUUCUCACCCCACCCAUGCGGCCCUGCCACCUACCCCAGCCCCCACCUAUUCCCGUCCUCCUCUUCCCUUCCGGCGGCUCGCCAAAUGCCAUCGGAAGCCCCCGCGGGGCCAUUCUCUAUACUAGAGAAUCUGGAAUUGCUGAAGUAAGAGGGUAUGUGAAUUCCGACUAUGCUGGAGAUUUAGACAGGAGUAGAUCCAUUACAGGUUACACUUUUUUGCUGAAUAGCGGACCUAUUAGUUGGAAGUCCACAUUGCAGCGCACUGUAACCUUUUCAACUACAGAGGCGGAAUAUAUGGCAGCAAUUGAAGCAGCCAAGGAAGCAGUCUGGCUCCAAGGCUUGGUAGGUGAAUUCGGAAUCAUACAAGAUAAGGUAAACAUAUUUUGUGAUAGUUAAAGUGCUAUUUGUCUUGCUAAAAAUCAGGUGUACCAUGCAAGGACUAAGCAUAUAGAUAUAAGGUAUCACAAAUUAAGAGAGUUCACAAAUGAAGAUGAUGGAGAAAUUCAACUUAUAAAGAUGUCUACAAAGGACAAUAUAGCUGAUAUCAUGACGAAGCCGGUAACAACUGAAAAGUUUAGGCAUUGACUAAACUUGGCAAAUUUGCAGGAUUGCUGAUGAUUGGAAGCUCUAGGGAGAGAGAGCAUUAAGAUAAGAGAGACUGAAUGAAGAACAAAAGAAGCUAAGGUGGAGAUUGUUGGUUAUAUGUCUUCUUUUGUAUAGGGCAUAAAAUUAUUUGUUUGGCCCAUAAGAUUUUUUGGACUAAUAUGCAAAAGAGACAUGAAUAUGAAAGUUGGUUCAUGGCGCACCGGGUCUACCGAACUAUUUAAAGUAUGAAUAAAGGGUUUUCAUUGGACAGAGAAGUAAUAUGCUGCGUUUCAUGCAUGCAUGCAUAAAACACAUGUUGCCAUGAAUGUCAAAAAGCCUAUAUAUAGGGCUUUCAUGUGUUUCAUGCAUGCAUGUCAAAAAGCCUAUAUGUAGGCUAAUUAUGACAAGUUGACAAUUGAAGAUGCAAACUUCAAUUGUGCAACUGCAUCCAUGGCUAUAAAAAGCCUCCAUCUCCACAUAUAAAUGAACAAGAUGAAGCACAAGCAACGGGUGAAUUAAGUGAGGUAUUAGGAGAAGGGUGGAAACUUAAUUAGUAGUUUGUUGAGUUUCUCUUAUUUGUUGUAAGAAGAGAAGGGUGGUAGUAACCAUAAGGCUCUUGUAUUAGAUUGAGAGAAACAUAAAGGUGUGGGCUUGUAAAUUUUCUUUUUUUCAUAUAAAGGAUACAUCUCUCCGCUCUCUCCGUAGAGGUAGGCCACUUACCGAACCACGUAAAUCGCUGUUUUUUUUUUCUGUGUAUUUCUUUUUAUUAUUUUUUCCUGUUUCUUUGUUCGUAUAUUUUUGUUGAUAGCACAUACAGGAUGAUCCUAAGUCCCAACACCCUCCUCCAUUUCCGCAAGAACUUCAUCAACGUUUCCAUAUCGAAAUGGUUGGCGGCCCCCGCCACUAACCCAGGGACCACCGUGACGUCGCCGUGUUUCGUCAUUGAUGAUAUACCUCAUGGUGGCGAGUAAAGCAAUGGUGCAUGUAUGGUAAAUUGAACGUAGCUGGAGAAAAGAUUGAGCGUCUUUGAAGAACAAACAUAGCUGGCCAGCUAUGUUUGUUCUUCAAAGACGCUCAAUCUUUUCUCCAGCUACGUUCAAUAUACCAUACAUGCACCAUUGCUUACCUCGCCACCAUGAGGUAUUGCAUCAAUGACGAACACGGCGACGUCACGGGUGGUCCCUGGGUUAGUGUCGGGGGCCGCCAACCAUUUCGAUAUGGAAACGUUGAUGAAGUUCUUGCGGAAAUGGAGGAGGGUGUUGGGACUUAGGAUCAUCCUGUAUGUGCUAUCAACAAAAAUAUACGAACAAAGAAACAGGAAAAAAUAAUAAAAAGAAAUACACAGAAAAAAAAACAGCGAUUUACGUGGUUCGGCAAGUGGCCUACCUCCACGGGGAGAGCGAGAGAGAUGUAUCCUUUAUAUGAAAAAAAGAAAAUUUACAAGCCCACACCUUUAUGUUUCUCUCAAUCUAAUAUAAGAGCCUUAUGGUUACUACCACCCUUCUCUUCUUAUAACAAAUAAGAGAAACUCAACAAGCUACUAAUUAAGUUUCCAGCCUUCUCCUAAUACCUCACUUAAUUCACUCGUUGCUUGUGUUUCAUCUUGUUCAUUUAUCUGUGGAGAUGGAGGCUUUUUAUAGCCAUGGAUGCAGUUGCACAAUUGAAGUUUUCAUCUUCAAUUGUCAACUUGUCAUAAUUAGCCUAUAUAUAGAC